AAGCUCGUAGUUGAAUUUCGGGGUUAGUAGGUUGGUCAUGCCUCUGGUAUGUACUGGUCUCACUGAUUCCUCCUUCCUGAUGAACCGUAAUGCCAUUAAUUUGGUGUUGCGGGGAAUUUGGACUGUUACUUUGAAAAAAUUAGAGUGUUUAAAGCAAGCUAACGCUUGAAUACAUUAGCAUGGAAUAAUGAAAUAGGACGUUCGAUCCUAUUUUGUUGGUUUCUAGGAUUGACGUAAUGAUUAAUAGGGAUAGUUGGGGGCAUUAGUAUUCAAUUGUCAGAGGUGAAAUUCUUGGAUUUAUUGAAGACUAACUACUGCGAAAGCAUUUGCCAAGGAUGUUUUCAUUAAUCAAGAACGAAAGUUAGGGGAUCGAAGACGAUCAGAUACCGUCGUAGUCUUAACCAUAAACUAUGCCGACUAGGGAUCGGAUGAUGUUAAUUUUUUAAUGACUCAUUCGG
rnacentral:rRNA from 1 species